rnacentral:miRNA from 1 species
AUGUAUAAUAUGGAUAUGUUGUCUAACUUGGAAGAAGAAUGAGGACUAUCUAUAUUAGGUUGAUGACUAAAACUUAUCUCUCCUGAUUCUCCUUGAAAUUGAUAGGAUUAUGAGCAAUAAGUUUUAGUUAUCAACCUCGUAUGAAUAGUCGUCCAUCAUCUUUCAAGUUAGACAAUAUAUCCAUAUUUUACUA